rnacentral:rRNA from 1 species
CUUUGGGAAUUUGCAUUUCGAUACCUGGUGAGCUAGAGUAUGGGAGAGGAUGGUAGAAUUCCAGGUGUAGCGGUGAAAUGCGUAGAGAUCUGGAGGAAUACCGAUGGCGAAGGCAGCCAUCUGGCCUAAUACUGACGCUGAGGUACGAAAGCAUGGGGAGCAAACAGGAUUAGAUAGCCUGGUAGUCCAUGCCGUAAACGAUGUCUACUAGCCGUUGGGGCCUUUGAGGCUUUAAUGGCGCACCUAACGCGAUAAGUAGACCGCCAGGGGAGUACGGUCGCAAGACUAAAACUCAAAUGUAUUGACCGGGGCCCGCACAAGCGGUGGAGCAUGUGGUUGAAUUUCAUGCAAUGAGCAGGAAGGAUACCUGGCCCUGACUUAUUAG